rnacentral:rRNA from 1 species
GACGAACGCUGGCGGCGUGCUUAACACAUGCAAGUCGAACGGGCCUUGUCCCCUUUUUUUUGGGGGUGGGGUUAGUGGCGAACGGGCGAGUAACACGUGAGUAACCUGCCCCUCACUUCUGGAUAACCGCUUGAAAGGGUGGCUAAUACGGGGUGUUCUGGCCUGCUCGCAUGGGUGGGUUUGGAAAGAUUCGACCGGUUUGGUUGUUUUGGUGGGGGAUGGGCUCGCGGCCUAUCAGCUUGUUGGUGGGGUGAUGGCCUGCCAAGGCUUUGACGGGUAGCCGGCCUGAGAGGGUGGGCGGUCACACUGGGACUGAGACACGGCCCAGACUCCUACGGGAGGCAGCAGUGGGGAAUAUUGCACAAUGGGCGCAAGCCUGAUGCAGCGACGCCGCGUGAGGGAUGGAGGCCUUCGGGUUGUGAACCUCUUUCGCCAGUGAAGAAGGUCCUGCUCUUUGUGGUGGGGUUGACGGUAGCUGGGUUAAUGAAGCGCCGGCUAACUACGUG